AAAGUUAAUAUUUAUUAUUAAUUUAUUUUGUUUAUUUUUUAAAAAAAGUAAUUUUAAUUUUAUUAUAAUUAAGAAAAAAUUUUUAUAAUUAUAGUUUAGAGUAUUGAGAAAGAAAAUUUUUAAUUUAUUUAAAAGAAAAAUUUAAAUUUUGUACCUUGUGCAUCAGGGUUAAUCUAAAAAUAAUUUUGUAUUUAAAUAUUCUCGAAUUCAAAAGAGCUAAUUAGUUAUAAAUUUUAUUGUGAAAUAAAUAUUUAAAAUAAUUAAUUAGAAAUGAAACGUUAUUCGUUUUUGAAUAUAUCUAGUUUUUAAAUAAAUAAAUUUAAUUUAGUUAUUUUAAUUUAAAAUUUUUAUUUAAUAAAAUUUUAUUUAAAAUAAGUAAUUUUUUUAGGGAUAAGCUUAAAAAAAAAAAAUUAUAAUUAAAUAUUUUUAUAUAAUAAAUUAUAGGAUUAUAAUUUUCUAUAAAUAAAAGAAUGUUAUAAUUAAUUAUUAGAAAUAUAAAAUUUAUAUUUAAAUUUAAUUUUUAUAUUUAAAUGUAUAUGUUAAUAAAAUUUAUGUAGUAAUAGUGAUUAAAUUAGUAUAAAUUUAUGUAGAGUUAAAUUUUUAAUUAAGGUUAAAUUAAGGAACUCGGCAAAUUUAUUUUUCACCUGUUUAUUAAAAACAUGUCCUUUUGAUUAUAAUUUAAGGUCUAAUCUGCCCACUGAGGUUUUAAAUGGCCGCGGUAUUUUGACCGUGCAAAGGUAGCAUAAUAAUUAGUUUCUUAAUUAGAAGCUGGAAUGAAAGAUUGAAUGAGAAAAUGACUGUCUCAGUUUAAUUUAGUUAGAACUUUAUUUUUAAGUUAAAAAGCUUAAAUAAUUUUAAAAGACGAGAAGACCCUAUAGAGUUUUAUUUAUAUUUUAAAUUAAAAUUUUUAGAUUGAAUAAAUUUUAACUUUAAAUAUAAAUUUUGUUGGGGUGAUAGAAAAAUUUAAUUAACUUUUUUUAAAUAAUUACAUUAAUUAAUGAUUUUUUGAUCCAAUAAUUUUGAUUAAAAGAUAAAAUUACCUUAGGGAUAACAGCGUAAUUUUUUUUGAGAGUUCUUAUCGAAAAAAGAGAUUGCGACCUCGAUGUUGGAUUAAAGUAUAAUUUUGGUGUAGAAGCUAAAAAUUUAGGUCUGUUCGACCUUUAAAACUUUACAUGAUCUGAGUUUAAACCGGUGUAAGCCAGGUUGGUUUCUAUCUUUAAAUAAAAAUAAUAUUUUAGUACGAAAGGACCAAAUAUUAAUUAAAUUAAUUUGCUAAUGAAUUUUAUU
rnacentral:rRNA from 1 species